rnacentral:rRNA from 1 species
GACGAACGCUGGCGGCGUGCCUAAUACAUGCAAGUAGAACGCUGAAGGAAGGAGCUUGCUCUUUCUGGAUGAGUUGCGAACGGGUGAGUAACGCGUAGGUAACCUGCCUGGUAGCGGGGGAUAACUAUUGGAAACGAUAGCUAAUACCGCAUAAAAUUGAUUAUUGCAUGAUAGUCAAUUAAAAGGUGCAACUGCACCACUACCAGAUGGACCUUCGUUGUAUUAGCUAGUUGGUGGGGUAACGGCUCACCAAGGCGACGAUACAUAGCCGACCUGAGAGGGUGAGCUGCCACACUGGGACGGAGACACGGCCCAGAUUCCUACGGGAGGCAGCAGUAGGGAAUCUUCGGCAAUGGACGGAAGUCUGACCGAGCAACGCCGCGUGAGUGAAGAAGGUUUUCGGAUCGUAAAGCUCUGUUGUAAGAGAAGAACGAGGGUGAGAGUGGAAAGUUCACACUGUGACGGUAUCUUACCAGAAAGGGACGGCUAACUACGUG